UUGAGUAUGGUGGUACAGAUACCUGGUCAUAUGAAACGAUUUUACUUGCGCCAUCCACGAAAAAUGCGUGAAGUUAGAUAUACAGCUAUAGGGACGGCUCACAUACAUAUUUGCAUAUCGUCAGCAUACAUCUGCACUUCACAAUUAGACCAGACAUUUGGAAGAUCAUUCACAUAUAUCGAAAACAGUAAUGUUCCAAGGAACGACCCUUGGGGGACACCGCGCUUAAUGAAUAGAAAGCCGGAGGUCUCAGACUCCUUUACAAAACAUUGAGAUCGGCCCAUUAGAUAUACAGCUAUAGGGACGGCUCACAUACAUAUUUGCAUAUCGUCAGCAUACAUCUGCACUUCACAAUUAGACCAGACAUUUGGAAGAUCAUUCACAUAUAUCGAAAACAGUAAUGUUCCAAGGAACGACCCUUGGGGGACACCGCGCUUAAUGAAUAGAAAGCCGGAGGUCUCAGACUCCUUUACAAAACAUUGAGAUCGGCCCAUUAGAUAUACAGCUAUAGGGACGGCUCACAUACAUAUUUGCAUAUCGUCAGCAUACAUCUGCACUUCACAAUUAGACCAGACAUUUGGAAGAUCAUUCACAUAUAUCGAAAACAGUAAUGUUCCAAGGAACGACCCUUGGGGGACACCGCGCUUAGUGAAUAGAAAGCCGGAGGUCUCAGACUCCUUUACAAAACAUUGAGAUCGGCCCAUUAGGUAUGUUCUUAUCAAGCUUAUAGCUUGAAAAAUUGUAUAGUUUUUCUAUUUUAUUGCAAAAUGUCGAAAGCCUUACUAUAGUCUAGCAGUGUAUGAAAUGUAACUUGCCUAUUAUCAGAUUUCGUGUGAAUAUCCUAUGAGAUUUUUAAGAUUGCUGUUUUACAACUACGGUUUUUCCGAAAGCGAUGUUGUCUUGUAUUCAACAGUGAAUUAUCGUGAAGAUACAUAUUAAUUUGUGUGGAGACUAGUAGCUUAAGUGCUUUAGAUAAAAAUAAAAGUAUAGAUAUCGGUCUAUAUUCACCCUUUGUUUU